AAAAUAUUUAUGCCAUGAAAAGUAAUCAUGCAGCAGAACCAUAGUCUGGACCAAGAAAAGGUUGUAGAGCGUAAGUGUAUAGAAAGAAUACCUGUGGUCAGUCGGGGUCAAAGGUGAAUAUGUGGAGUAGUUUUACUAGAUGGGAAAUGAAAAUGCAAUUCCUGACGUACUAGGAACCAAAAAAAAAAAAAAAACGCUAAGCACUUGAAUAGUUGCAGUGGAUGUUGCACUACAUGAAAAAAUAUUUAUGCCAUGAACAGUAAUCAUGCAGCAGAACCAUAGUCUGGACCAAGAAAAGGUUGUAGAGCGUAAGUGUAUAGAAAGAAUACCUGUGGUCAGUCGGGGUCAAAGGUGAAUAUGUGGAGUAGUUUUACUAGAUGGGAAAUGAAAAUGCAAUUCCUGACGUACUAGGAACCAAAAAAAAAAAACCAAACAAUCGAACCACUGUCCUGCUGUGGCCUCGGUGUCAGCAGCGUUGAGGUUUUACCGGCUUUUUCCCCUCGUGCCUUAAACGCAUCUUUUUUUUUACGCACCUAAACGUAAUCGUGCUGCUGUACGGCUCUGGUAAAGAAACAGAAUAUUUAAUCAUGGCUGAUUCAUUAUCCGUUAGAUCAGAUGUGUUUGAGUUUUGAUUCAGUGUUAAAGUUACUCCGUCGGUGACUGUUUGUGUUUGGAUAUGCAAUAUUAAAAAGUCACUUCCUGUCCAAAAGUUAACAGUUUUUGCGUGUUUUUCACUUUCUAAAAGUUGACGUCCCAGCUGUUUAAAUUAGUUAGCAGGAAUAACCUAACUUUUACCUCCAGACCAGCUUCAGAGGAGACCUACAACUGUCGGGUAACGAACCUUCAAAUAUUACUUUUUGCUGCAGCAGAAUACUGAGUUUGUUUUAUUUGAAGGUUGAUGUUGACAUACUUUAACGACUGUCACCUUGAAGGUCCACAGAGCAGCAGUGGAAGUCUUUCUGCAGCCAACACAGCGACCCCUAUUGGUGUAAAAAGAGAGCAGCCAUUCAACUAGUGAUGCAGGGUUCCACCGUGGGAAGUUCUCCAGCCCAUCACAGCAGGCUCUGGGAGAGGAGCAGAAGCUCAGGUUCUCCUCCUGGACUCUGACUCCUCUCUGGAAGCUGCUGCUUUUGGGCAUUUCCACGUUCAUGGGACAGACGUAAUCCUCGCCCUCUUCCUGACGUUUCCUUCUCAGAGUUCCAAACCCACCGAAGGACAGGCGUCGAGGCUGAGGCAGAAGAAAGAAAAGGAACGGAUCACUGAGUUACCUGAGCUCUCAGCUGAACUCCUCCACGUCGCUCACCUUGACUUUGGCGGUGGCAGUGAGGACGGUGUAGUCGGGGUUCUCCAGACACUCCUGCUUCAGACGCUGCGCCUCGGAGCCAAUGAGCAGAUGGAAGUGCGUGGCCAGGUGGCGUCGCAGCAGCGUUUUGCUGGGAGGAAUAUUGAGCAACAGAGCCAGAGCUUCAAUGUUGAAGCGUGGCUCCAGCACCUGAGAGGUCAAAGGACGUCAUCUGGACCCUGGUCACUCACCAUCAGACCUCCGUGGACACCACUGCCCCUCAGGUUUGGGGCGUACUCAGCCAGAUCCACUGAUCGUAACCACUCCAUCACUCUGUGGUUGGUCCACUGACAAAUCUCUGCUGGAGUGACAUUGUUCUGGAAGAAGGACGGCCGUCUCCUCAGACAGUUGUCUUCAAAGUUGUUCAGGCGCAGCACCUGGAUGGCUCUCUUGAUGCUGAGGUGGUGGAGGACACUCCCCACCUUCAGAGACAGGAGGUCGUCCUGGAGACCAACAUCACUCCUG